rnacentral:ribozyme from 1 species
UGCCCAGCAACUCCUAUCCGUACCUCCACGUGGUACGGAAACAUUGAGCAACCUUAGGAAAGAUCGAGUAACCAACCCCGGUGGGAACAUUGGUCGUUGACUGACAGGGAAGG